CGAGACGAUAAAAGCAACAGCAAUCAGAAUCAACAGUUGAAACGACAUGGCAGACGCUGUGAAUGCUAUGAACUGCUGUGCUGAGCAGCAGGAUUCCUGUGUCCUGGCGCAAUGCCCAUGGGGAUUCAUGCUUUCAGAGGGUCACGCCUCAGGAACACGUAGAAGGGCAAGCAUUUCAUCUGGCAGGGCACUGAUUUAAUCUGCACGCAUGUUUGGCUGUAAAACUAGCUCCUCCCCCUUACCAUUUUUGAGUCGCUGCCGGACUCAAAUUCCACAGAUUCUGGAAGGUGUCCAGGAACUCGUUGAUUUGUCAAACUUAUGGCUACACACAGCUGGAAUGGAGACGGACUCCACUGAGGAGACUCAUACAGGACAGGAGGGAAUUUUAAGAGGAUAACCCUGUUGAGACCAAUCUACAUAAAUCCAGGUUAAAGGGAAGCUUCUUCCCGCCCUCCAGAAGACACAGGCAGUGGCUCAGGUGACCUGCCAGCAUGGAACCUGUCUCUCUCAACAGUCAUGGUGGGGGGUAUGACCAUUAUAGGAUGGAUGAAAAAAACGAAGCUUGAAGAAGUUAUGUGAAUCUCCUGAAGUCCAGAAAUGGCAAAGUUCAAACUCAGGUCUCCUGGCUCCAAGCCCAUGUGUUUCCCCUUCUACUAUGUCAACCUCUCCCUGCCCUGGGCUGCCUUGUGGCACCGUCCCUUUCUGUGGAGACUGGUACAUCUGCCUUAGUGUCUUCCGGCUGUGUGAUGCUUGUGUUAAGGCUCCAUAUUCUGGAGGUGUCCUGCGAAUUCUCCACUGGAAAAGGGAAACAGGACUAACCCUAGGUCUUGAAGGGUUUCCCUCAGAGCUUGAGAUAGUCAGAGGAAAGGACUGAGUGUCCAGGGUUUGGCCAUCUCUAAGUGCUCUUUUGCUUUUGAAACAGAAAUAGACCUUGCAUCUGUUGGGCCCAUAGUACUAGCUCCUGCUGUAGGUGCUUUUGUGGGCACUGCAUGUUAAAUCCUCACAUCAACCUCAUGAGGUGCUGCUGUUACCUCCAGUUGUGGAUGGGGAAGGUGAGCUGUGGGGAGUUUACAUACGGAGGUGGAAAAUGGCCAAACUGGGAUUUGAACCCCUGCCAGGGAUCUGCUCUUAGCCUCUUUACCAUGUUAAGGAGCCUGGGCUCCAGCACCCUCUCCUCCUGUCUGCUGCCCUUGGUCCAUAGAAGGAAAAGCCCAGACCUCCUGGUGUCCUGGGCACUCAGAGAUAACCAAAGCCUGGAAACUCAGCCUUUCCAUCUCAAAAGUGAAAGAAAAGUCAAUCAAACAAAAAUGACCGAAGUGUUUUCUAAUAUUUUCAUUAAUUAAAAUUAUGGUUCCUGAUUUCAUCUUUUUGACAUCCAACACCAAUGUACUAAUAAUCAAGCCCCUGGAAUAAUGGUGUUUAAUAAAAAGGGUGAAACCUGCAAUGCUUUUAGGCAACACAUUUACCAUGGCUAGAGAGUAGUGGGAUGUGUUGGUGUGAUUCUGUGUGUCCCUUGGUACGUCAAACACCCACGACACUUAGUAAGACUGUGUGACAACAGCGCUGAGCAGUUUAAGUGCUUGUAAUCCGCUGCCUGGGACCAGGCUGAGACUCAGAACUGGGUGUUCUUGCUUUUUCACAUUUGCUGCUGAUUAUGCUGAGGAAUUAGAUGGGAAGGUGGGCCAGGGAUGGGGCAGAUAGACAUAUUGAAUGUGUACCCAGAAACACAGUGAGGGUCUGUGGUCAAGGAUGUGGAGUUUCUAUCCACUUGGCAAGGGGUGGGGAGGGUGAGUCUAUACAAUGAAAUCACUCCCUGUGUCCAUUGCGCCCAACACCAAGCAUAACAUGAGCAGCUGCAGUUAGGAGGAAAAGGCCAAAACCUCCCCUUGGACCUCCUGCCUGGACCUCCCUGCUUUAAGCAGGAAUUGAAUGUAAAAUGCUGUCUGGGCCAGCCCUGCCUGGGUCUGCAAAAGGAGAGGUGCCUGCAGCAAUGGCUAGUGGGCCAGCCCCUGGCAGCACAUGAAGCCACAAAGAUGCCCCAGCUACUGGGCUUGUCACCCACAAAGGCCCCCACUCUAGCCUGCCCCCUACCCUGCAGCUGGAGUGUCUCUGGAGAAGUAUUUCCAAACAGCCCAUUCCCUGCCCCUCUUCAUUUUUGUGUUAUGUGCCACCUGAAGGUCUUUAUGAUGUUCUAUAUCCCCGCUUCUUCUCCCAUGUUGUUUUGCCUCCUAUGACAUUGGAACUGGCUCCUGAACAAGGGGUUAAUGUAGGAAGGGAGCCCCCACCUGCCAUAAUGAGAACCCCCCCAGCACCUCAGACUCUUUCUCAUCCAAUUCAUGGGGAGGAAUGAUUUGACAAGCAGGACAAGUUCUAUCCUCAGGCCAUGUGAGUGCUCCAGCCAAGAUGAUUGAGCCUCUUCUGGGGUGGGACUGUUUGCCAGUGGUUUGCUGCAUCAGAUGGCCUUUUGGAUCCUGGACACAGCUACAAUCACAGAAGCGAUCUUGGAAGCCACUAAGCCAGCCCUACCAUUUUGCAGAUGAGGAAACUGAAGACUGCGAGGGAGGAUAUUCAGCUUGAAUUUAGGGUCAGCAAAAGGAUGCAUUGAGGAAAGAGCCCAAGGUGAUCAGUGUCCAGUUGGCAUCUCUAUACCUCAUGGUGCUGUCUUCCUGCCCCAUUGCCAGGCUUGGAUUGUCAAAAUAAGGAACUGAUCUCCAGGAGAUAAAUUCGUCAAGUAGAAGACAGGCUUCAAGAAAAGAAAGGCACUCUGUUUUGCAGUGGGGAGCACUCUGCUGGGGGCCUAUGUGGCUCAGACGUUGAUGGAACCGUCAUCUCUAGAUUGAAAACAUCAAACCAAACCUGAAGCACUGAGAGGUUGGGUAACCAGCUCUGGUCACUGAGUUGGUGAGGGAUGGAUUCAGAAGAGGUCUCCAAUUGUGACACCGCAGAGGACCUGCUCUUGGCCACUACACUCUACCAGCUCUGCAAGAAGAAUGAUGAGUGAUCACCAUAACAUAAACAGACACCACUGAGCGGACUCAUUCUUGGUCUUCUGUCUGAUUCUGGGAGAUUCAGAGCUCUGGCUCUGCCACUAACAGCAGGGAGUUGGAGAAACGAUUUUGCUGCUCUGGAGCUCAGCUUCCUGAUUUUGAGGGGGAUGUCUUGGAGGUUCUCCCCACAUCUGGAAUUCUGGGAUUAUAUGGUGCCUUAUGCUAGUGGUAGGGGCGCUUCCACACUUUUCAUCUCAGACCCACAGAGCCAGUGUGUGCGGCUGAGGUGCUCAGACUGGCAGGUGAAAUGACUUCAUUAGUGCCCUGGCUCCUGGUGGGAUGAGAGUGGAAACCCAGCCUUCUGAGUUGAAGAACUGGAACAAACAUCAGCCCUGACACAUUGAUGUCAGUUUACCUUUGUGAGAAACAGGAACGAAAUGUGAACAUCUAUUUCAGGGGGAAGAAAAUAGGGCUGUUUUGAGGAGAUGUGGCUGAGAAAACAGAAAAAGAGAAUUACAGGCCUGAAAUCCCAGCACUCUGGGAGGCUGAGGCCCCUGGCGCUGGUUCUCUCUGGAGGUUGAGUUUCCGUGGGGAGAGAAGAGUGCCCAGCGUGACCACCGUUGGCUGACUUCCCAUGCCUUAUUCCUUGUUUCCCCCGCUGGGGCCCAGCCCACCAGCCCCGCAGUGCAUGAAGCCACUUAUCACCACGGUUCCCAGAGAGGACGGGCUGGCCCAAGUCUGCAUUGUCACCUGCUCUGGGGAAAACAAAGCCCUCUCCCCCGCCCUCCCCGCAGCAUGCUGGGCACAGGGCCAGCCCGUUCUAUGUUUUCAGUAAAUUUUCAAACAUGCUGGUUUUGGUGGCAGCUUUUGCAGUGAUUAUCUCAUUAGGGGCUUGGCCCUGAAACACCUUAUUUAUUGUGGAUUGAAAAAAGUUCACCUUUUCAAGCAAAAAAAAAAACAAAAAAAAACAAACAAAAAAAAAACAGAAGAAAGAAAUAAAAGAACCAGACUGUAGUUUCCCUGGAAAAUUUUCGCUUGUGGGAAAAUACCUCCCCGGCCCGUAGAGAGACGCCAUCACCAACAGUGUGGAGUUAUCAGAUGGGACUGGUCCAGCUUUGUGGGGCCGGGGCACACAGUGCCAAUGUCCAGGUAGUUUCCAAACCGUGUUUUGUUUCCUCUGUCCUCUUUAUAAACCCACGGAUUGAACCUCAUGGGCCCACAAGUUCCUGAUUGCUUCGUAUAUAUUGUACAGAUUUUUUCAGGAAAAUAAAAUAGAUCUUGCUCUACCCUGACAGAGCAGGGCCGAUAUUCUCUAGAAGAGAGGAGAACUCUAGAAUGGAUGGCAGCACUCUGAGUGUGUAACCCAAACAGCAUGCUGAAAUAGUAAAACUCUGCCGCAGGGGCAGAUGGCUGCUGGGAGAAUAUUUAUAGCAGGGAUCUAGAAAUAACCGUAAGGGAAAAGCCUUCUGAGGAGGAACGGAACAAGAGUCUUCGGGGUGGCACUUGGAGACACUCUUGCUCUUGCCUGAGGUCCUGGAGGGCUGCAGGCCGACCGCUGCACGGGAGAGAAUAUACGUGGUAUUCACAGGGUACACAGAAGUCAUAAUACUUCAUGUAGAUCUGUGCCACACAGAUGUGAGAGCUAGGACUUGGAAACAGGAAGAGAAGUGGGAGGAUGAUUAGGAGCGUAAUUGGUAAAUGUAGUACAGUCAAGGCAGACGCUGUAAAAGGACCGGGCACUGCAGAGCUGCAGGACAAGAGCCUGGGGACACGACAGUCAACCAGCCCGUGGGCAUCAUGGAAACAGCACUUUGCAGGCACCUGAGUGAAGCACAGGAAGGAAAUGCAGACACAGGUGAAGGAGCACGGGGUUGGGUUAGAGCCAGGCAGCAUCCCCCCAGCCGCUCCAUGCUAAAGCCUUCAUCGAUUGCCCAGAGAGUGGGGGUUCUCAGUUAACGUUGGAACCAUACAGCAAUGAGGCCUGGGUACUACUUGUAAUUUUCUGUUUAUUUCUAACUUUAUGAACUGCGUCAAGUAUACUUCCUAGCAUGGGUUCAGUAUUUUGCAACAAAUCUUUCUGCCGUGGAUAUAAAUUCAUGAGCUUCAGGUUUCAUUAAAGAGAAGUACACAAAUGAAGUACCCAGACUAACAUUUGAAAAUUUAAUUUUAUGUUUGUUUUUAUUUUUUAAGGGACAGGGUUUCACUAUGCUCAGGCUGGACUCAAACUCCUGGGCACAAGUGAUCCUCCUGCCUCAGCCUCCUGAGUAGCCGGGACCAUAGGCACACACCACCACGCCCAGCUCAAACUAACAUUUGACUGCCUUGUGAAAUAUUACCUAGUCACUAUCCCAGGUCCCUGACAGCAUAGACCAGCAAAACAUUAGAAUGACACCAGACCUAUUAUAACUGCAAGCCAUGAACAGGAUUUCAAGAAAAGAGAUGGAAGAAUGUUCAGAUUCCUAAAAAUCUUCUUAAAAGAGAACUCCUAGCUUUCCACAAAAUUCACUUAAUUUCUUAAGUGAUUUUUAUCUUUUAAAAGCACAAUAAAAAGCAAUCAGAUGUUGUGUGUCUGUGCAUCUGUACAGCAGUAAAGGUAUCUCUCACAUGGCAUUAAAAAAAAGGCAAACAAAUCCAACACACCACUAGAACUCAAAUUUGGAGAAAAUAGCUGCAGGAAAAAAUUGCGCUGUGUGUAUAAAGGUUUUUUUUAAAGAGUGUCUUUUCCUGAACUGACAUUUCCAUUCUUAGUUUUUUGGUUUUGUUUUGUUUUGUUGUUGUUUUGAGACGGAGUCCCACUCUGUCACCAGGCUGGACUGCAGUGGUGUGAUCUCAGCUCACUGCAACCUCCGCCUCCCGGGUUUAAGCGAUCCUUCUGCCUCAGCCUCCUGAGUAGCUGGGACUACAGGCAUGGGCCACCAUGCCCAGCUAAUUAUUUGAACUUUUAGUAGAGAUGGGGUUUCACCAUGUUGACCAGGAUGGUCUCGAUCUCUUGACCUCAUGAUCCGCCCACCUUGGCCUCCCAAAGUGCUGGGAUUACAGGCGUGAGCCACCGUGCCUGGCCCAUUCUUAGUUUUCUUACUUGGGUAUUUUUCCCUGUCUGCCUCAGGGAAAUGAGGAAACCAAUAGAAGCUUGGCACUUAUUUACUUUUCAGUUAGUAUAUGAUGUGAUUUAUUAAAUGUAUCUUUAAGUCUCCAACUGGAAUCACCCAUGUUCUUAACAACUUAGGUUACUCCUUUCAAGGAAAUGAACAUAUUAUUACAAGCACAGCCAUUCUGGAAAAUACAACUGUCCACUACAUAUAGAAACUUGGCCUCAGAUGAUUGUGUCUUCUUAGCAAGGGACAGUUUCUAUUCCCCUGAACCCCACCUCACAGCUCUGGAUGACAUGAUUGAAGCUAAGGCAAGGUCAUUUUCUACCCCGACUCAAAUCUCUCUUACAGCAAGUUAACCAGGUGGGGCUUGAGUGGUCCCAAGCUUCACACUCCGAGUCAGGCAGGUUUCUUAGGUCUGCUCCCAUACUGAACCGGCUACUAGGGGCACCUGACCACGUAGAACCCAACAGACAGUGACCGGGUAAAUACUCAGCACUCGGGUUCUAUUCUCCUAUUGAAUAAAGGCAGCAUCAACCUGCCUAUGGACAGUGAUUGAAAGCAUUUCACUCCAAAUUGAGCUGCACACUCUGGUGUCUUCAGGCACAGCCAGGCAUAGCCAGGACAGUUGGUUGCAACAGGACUGGGCCGACUGGGAGCCCAGUGAGGCAGGGCUGGGAAUGGACUCUGUUGCUGGCCUUGGGAGAACACACAAGGGCAAAAUGAGAAACUGGAGGUAGCUGUAAUCCCUCUGAUGUCAGGGACUGUGUCUUACUUCCACUGUGUCUUCAGUGCCCAGCUCGGAGUCUAGCACAUAGUAACCUUCCAUCAGUGUUCAUUGAGUAUAGACAUCAGAGAAAGCUGGAGUUUGCAGGGGUGAUCCUCAUCGAAGGGAUACAUCGUGGUGACCCACUUAGUGGAGGACACUAUUGGGGCCCUGGAGAUGGUGAUACUCAGCAAUUCACAGGCAUGUGGCUGGCACUCGAGGAGGGAGUCUGUCAUCAAAUAGGUGGGUCUCGGGACCAGGCUGGGAUAUAAAGGUGGGACUUUAGGCCUUGGAGACUCUGGCCACAGCAAGAUAGGACUAGAUGAGGUCAACUGCUCUCCAGAAUGGGACUCAGGCCUAGGGGACAGCAGAGACCUAGGUAUAGAGAA
rnacentral:lncRNA from 10 species